UCUCCAGUGGCUCAGUCGGUAAAGAAUCUGCCUGCAAUGCAGGAGACCCAGGUUCAAUCCCUGAGUAGGGAA
rnacentral:tRNA from 1 species